UAAAAACUUUACCAGAGCCACAAUCCAGCGGGAUGACAGCAGCAGAGGGAGUGAACCCAAAACCCCAAACCUUGGCUCCUCUCCGAAUCCCGUAAGCAAAGCCCUGGCUCCAGGGAGGGCUGCAGGCAGCCAGGACACAGCCAGGAUCCAUAACUCCACAGAGGAAUUCCAGGACUCAGGGGGCCAGUAAAACGUGUUUAGGUGUUGCCUUUGAGAGCUGCUGCUCCUUUUCCAGCACUUCCAAGGUGGUCCCAUCCCUCCAUUCAUGCAGGUGAUGCUUCAGUGUGGUUUUGCUUCCCUGCAGCCCCCAUUUCCCCACCCCAAUGCCUGUCCCAAACCCCCCCCGGGGAUUUCCUGCCCCCACAAAUGCCCCCCACACCUCACACCCAUGGGAUGCACUCAGGGAAUGCAGUGCUCAGAACACCCAACUCGCUGCACCAGUGGAUUUAAACAUCACAUCCCAAACAAAUAAAAAAUACCACCCAAAUCCUCGAGAGGUGAGAUCCUUCAGCUGGAAACCAGAGAUUUGCUGGGAAAACCCUCCCAGGGCUGUUCCCAUGGGGGUGAUAAUGGUGCCACUCCCUGCUCCAUCUCAGGGGGGCAGGACCCAUCCCAAAGCUGCUGCAUUUAUAGCUCAGCUCAGCUUAUUUACAGCCCCACGAAAUUUCCUACAUCUCCAUCUGCUCCUCUCGAAAAGCAGAAGUAAGAAAAAAUAAAAGACAAAUAAAGCCAUGAGAGCAGCUCUA